rnacentral:misc_RNA from 1 species
UCUCCGUAGGUGAACCUGCGGAAGGAUCAUUCAUAAUAAAGUGUUUUAUGGCACUUUUUAAAAAUCCAUAUCCACCUUGUGUGCAAUGUUAGAUCUCGUCAAUCUUGGCGAGAUUUUUAUACAUCAACUCAUUCUUUAACUAAUUUGUCUGAAAAAUAUUAUGAAUACUUAAUUCAAAAUACAACUUUCAACAACGGAUCUCUUGGCUCUCGCAUCGAUGAAGAACGCGGC